UACGUAGGGGGCUAGCGUUGUCCGGAUUUAUUGGGCGUAAAAGGCUUGUAGGUGGCCACGCCAAGUCGGAUGUGAAAGCCCCCGGCUCAACUGGGGAGGGUCAUUCGAUACUGAUCGACUCGAAGGCAGGAGAGGGAAGUGGAAUUCCCGGUGUAGUGGUGAAAUGCGUAGAUAUCGGGAGGAACACCAGUGGCGAAGGCGACUUCCUGGCCUGUUCUUGACGCUGAGGCGCGAAAGCUAGGGGAGCAAACGGG
rnacentral:rRNA from 1 species